GGGCGCAUAGCUCAGUUGGCAGAGCAGCUGACUCUUAAUCAGCGGGUCGCAGGUUCGAGCUCUACUGCGCCCACCA
rnacentral:tRNA from 1 species